ACGUUCUAGCAAGCUCUUCUGUGAUUGGUGAAAUUUUGGCGGUGGGAGUGAGUUUAAAAGGAAGCACUUAUAGUUUCUGGUUGCGCUUGUUUGCACGCUCGUGUUCGCGUUUGUGAGGUGCUGAAGGGUUCUGUGUGGAGCGAGGGCCGUUUGUGAGAUUUGCAGACAGAAGUCCCUCUUUGUAUCCUCCAGCACUUUGAUACUCUGUAUAACAUACUGCAGUGAGUUGAUUUCCGGUCACUGGAUACUGCAAUUAAAGAGGAGGUUCUUGAGGUGAUGGCAAAAGGAAUAAACAUUAUUUUUGUGGCAUCACCGCAUGUAAAUGAACUCCCUGCUAUACUGGAGGAUCUUCAUCUGUCUGUACCUCAGCAGGCUGCUCAUCUUAAUGCUCUCAAGAUGGAUUGCUUCAUCCUCACACAGCAGAAGCCUCUGAGGCAGAGACGUACAAGGCCUCACUGGGCAGUGCACAGCUAAGUGGCAAGCAUGGCGACUGGCUGUUGCUGUAAGAUGGAGAAUCCAAACAUAGUAUUGGCAAAAAAACAAAAGUACCUUGGAAGCAUUGGGAGACCUUUGUGUUGCUGAGAAACUAUCGCCACAUACUGAGUGCCAGUGUGAAGGUGAUUCAGCUUUUGCAACAUUUUGAACAUGUGGCUUCAGUCCUGGUUCAUACAGAGUCUGUGGACCAGAGUACGGCAUAAAACCUGUCAUCGGUGAGAUUAUGAGGGCAAGAAGGCUAAAUCCAAAGCAAGACUUGGGAGUCUGAAUGGGACUAUUUUGCAAGCACUCGUCCAUCUUUUGCAGCUUGAUAUUAAACGCCUCUGGAGCAGGUCUGUGUUGGGAGGAAGAGUUUCAGGACUGGUUCCUUUACCUUGUCAUGGCGACUGGCUGUUGCUGUAAGAUGACGGAAAAUCCAUACAUAAUAAAAAAAAAAGUACCUGCGAAGCCUUGGGACACCUCCUUUGUGUUGCUGUAAAACAAUAUCCCCACAUGAACUUCCUGUUUUCAGCUUAAACCUCCAGGGCUAGGGCUUGAGCAUGCUCAGUUUGCUCCUCUCUCCCUCUGCCCCUCCCUGCUGUAAUCUGAACUCAGAAGCAUGAAUGAGACUUAGGCAGGAUGUGAUGUCACACCAAGCUAAUAUGGCAGCUGCUAUCCUAAACAAAGUUUCUAGAGCUGUUUACUCAGGUGCCAGUGUGAAGGUGAUUCAAUUUUGAACACAUGGCUUCAGUCCUGGUUCAUACAGUGAGUCUGUGGGCCACAGAAUAUGGCACAAAACUGGUCAUCUGCGAGAUAAUGAGGGGACAACCAGGAAUUGUAAUGAGCAACUUGGACACUCUGGUGACUGUGGGGCUUGGAGAGCAAAUGCAGGAGGAUUAUCUGUUUGCUCAGGAAGUGUCUUAAAUGGAUUGUCAUGACUUAUAUGAUGUUGUUUUUAUUACACUGCAAAUAAAAUGUCAUUCCUGAA